UGUUCUAAAAAUUCAUAUUCAUCCACAUCCAUAGACAAAGAUGCUUCUAUAGUACAAAAAUCCAUGGAAACCACGAAUGUGGAAAAAAGUUGUUUUCAAUUUGGCUGUAGAAAAAAUAUCCUAGCAAAAUUUAUGUAUCCAUUUAGAAAAACAAAUGAAACAUACUAUUAAUGAGUACAUUUUGAAUGUUUCCACGCUGUAAAAAAAUGAAUUUUGGAAACGAGCUAUGACCAUCCCAAUCUUUUGGCCGAUCGGCCAGAGCCGUUCGAACUAUACGCACACAUAAGUCUAUCCAACGCCCACUGAAUAUGUUGCAGAAACUCCGCUGAAAUAAUCUUAGGGGCAUGAUCCUCAGCAAAUCUAUCCACAUGCUCUCAGCUUAGUCAUUGAUAAGAACUUUCAGCGGUGAGAUCCCAGCAAACCAAAGCCAAGCAGCUCAAUCUGGAUCACAGCAUGCAGAUUGGACAAUAGCAUCAACAGGACCUUCUCCUUCGUCAACCACGCACGGGAGAACAAGUUAAAAGAGCGGCGCCCCCAUCCACAUUGAUGUUGCAAUAGUAGCACUAUCACGUGCUCCGCCCAACUGACAGCUUGCCGACUCUCACGGUGCGCCGGUGCCGCCAUCAGAAUUGUAGCACAACUACUUAGAAUUCAGCUCUUCGUCGGUUGGUUCCAGCAUGCAGGAGGAAGAUGAUUAUAAAGAGAAAACAGUGUGGUUGGGCCAAUCAAAUGGAGAAGUGGACGAUGCAAAACCGGCUCCUUUUGAGAAGAAAAGGUACUCAUAAUUGUGUCGUUCGAAAGAGAAAUAUCUGUGUCGAUACAACAACGUACGGUUGUCCGGCAGAAAACAUUUCAUGAAAAAGUAUACUUGAGUGGCACGAUGUUUCUCCUCCCAGAUGAACAGUAAAACCCAAAAUAAUAGCAAAGAUAAUCAAAAAAUUGUGAUCAUUUUUCUUACACACAUGUUUGAAUGUUCCACACUUGGUAAAACGCCAUUGUAAAACAAACACAAAAGGAAAAUUACGGAUCUUACAAGAUUUAGACCAGAAGUGGAAGAAAUACAUGCAUCCCAGAAUCAAAUUCAGAAAGUUUGGUAUGCAGAUCAGCCAUUGGUUCAAAGUCAAAGAGACAUGGCAUCACAUGAACCGGGAGAAGGUUAAGCAAGAAUACCACUACAAUGGCAAAUUUGUGGGGCCCAUAUAUCCAUUGAAUCAAUAAUUUUGGAGAAACUAACUGAGUAGUAUAAAAGUAGUUGUUGUAAUUGCCGUCAGCUAAGAGCAAAAGACCGUCCAAAUAGCAAUCAUAAUCCAUUUGGAACAUUUUUUUUCUUUUUCUUGUUCAUCCUCAGACGUUGCAUACGUUCUCACAGAUUGUUCAAACAAUGUAGGCAAUACAGUUCGCAACUCAUCAUAGGUAAGAACAAUUUAAAAACAGCAUAAAAUAUAGAUCAUUGGUCUUAAACACAGAUAUGAAAUGAGACAAUUCUAUUUCUAUAAUCAUCAGAAAAACAUCAAACAAAAUAGAUAUGAAUCAAAACCAAGAAAGGAAAACAUGCAUCUGGAGGACUCAGAAUAUGGGUGGUGAUAUAGCAGUAUGGUCGGCAAGGCAAAAAAAUGCCAAUUACAACGGAGACCAAAUAUCAAUCUUCACCAUCCCAGCGAAAAACCAACCGAAUUAAUGUUUCUCUUCAGUGAAGAUACUAAAGGAUGCAACACAAACCAUGUUAACACCCAUGACUUAGGGAGCAGCUGCGAACGUUUUGAGAAACAAGAUUUAGUUUUAUCAUAAGUUUCUACGUUUCAGAAUCCUACAUUCCAAACAGGCCUGGUACAAAUAUAUCAGAUUAAAACCAACAUCAUUAAGUCAGACACCAAAAAAGAACAUUAAAUAAGGUAAAUUAACAUGGCUCAGACAUCCAAGGAAGGAGUCAUCGCCACUGAUUUCACCCAAUUAAAAGAAGUACAGCAAAAACAUAUUAUUGUUAAGUAUGCAAAGCAAGUAUAACAACAAAAUAUCCUGUUAAAUCAAGAAGAUAAAGCAGAGAGAAAAAAAGAUUCAAAUGGGUAAUAUCAACAUGGCUCAGACAUCCAAGGAAGGAAUUAGCAGCAUUAGCUCUCAAGCCUGGCAGGGCGAAAGCUCUUAGGCGGCAACUGCGAAUGUUUUGAGAAACAAGCCAAAGUUUUAUCAUCAUCGC
rnacentral:rRNA from 1 species